GCAUGGGGGGCUACAAUGCAGUCGUACAAGGUAACCAGAAGCUUGCUUCUAUGACGUUAGCGGCGGACGGGUGAGUAACACGUGGGCAACCUGCCUGUAAGACUGGGAUAACUUCCGGAAACCGAAGCUAAUACCGGAUAGGAUCUUCUCCUUCAUGGGAGAUGAUUGAAAGAUGGUUUCGGCUAUCACUUACAGAUGGGCCCGCGGUGCAUUAGCUAGUUGGUGAGGUAACGGCUCACCAAGGCAACGAUGCAUAGCCGACCUGAGAGGGUGAUCGGCCACACUGGGACUGAGACACGGCCCAGACUCCUACGGGAGGCAGCAGUAGGGAAUCUUCCGCAAUGGACGAAAGUCUGACGGAGCAACGCCGCGUGAGUGAUGAAGGCUUUCGGGUCGUAAAACUCUGUUGUUAGGGAAGAACAAGUACGAGAGUAACUGCUCGUACCUUGACGGUACCUAACCAGAAAGCCACGGCUAACUACGUGCCAGCAGCCGCGGUAAUACGUAGGUGGCAAGCGUUAUCCGGAAUUAUUGGGCGUAAAGCGCGCGCAGGCGGUUUCUUAAGUCUGAUGUGAAAGCCCACGGCUCAACCGUGGAGGGUCAUUGGAAACUGGGGAACUUGAGUGCAGAAGAGAAAAGCGGAAUUCCACGUGUAGCGGUGAAAUGCGUAGAGAUGUGGAGGAACACCAGUGGCGAAGGCGGCUUUUUGGUCUGUAACUGACGCUGAGGCGCGAAAGCGUGGGGAGCAAACAGGAUUAGAUACCCUGGUAGUCCACGCCGUACACGAUGAGUGCUAAGUGUUAGAGGGUUUCCGCCCUUUAGUGCUGCAGCUAACGCAUUAAGCACUCCGCCUGGGGAGUACGGUCGCAAGACUGAAACUCAAAGGAAUUGACGGGGGCCCGCACAAGCGGUGGAUCAUGUGGUUUAAUUCGAAGCAACGCGAAGAACCUUACCAGGUCUUGACAUCCUCUGACAACUCUAGAGAUACAUCGUUCCCCUUCGGGGGACAGAAUGACAGGUGGUGCAUGGUUGUCGUCAGCUCGUGUCGGGAGAUGUUGGGUUAAGUCCCGCAACGAGCGCAACCCUUGAUCUUAGUUGCCAGCAUUUAGUUGGGCACUCUAAGGUGACUGCCCGUGACAAACCGAGGAAGGUGGGGAUGACUUCAAAUCCUCAUGCCCCUUAUGACCUGGGGUUACCACUGGCUACAAUGGAUGGUACAAAGGCCUGCAAAACCCCGAGGUCAGCCAAUCCUUAAAACCUUUUCAGUUCGGAUUGAAGGCCCCCACUCGCCUACUAAAACCUGGAAACCUGGAAAUCCCGGAACACCUAGGCCCGGGUAAACACGUUUCCGGGCGUGGAAAAACCGCCGGACAACCCCGAAUUUUGAACCCCGAAUGCCUGGGGUAACCUUUUAGGACUUCCCCCUAUGUGGCAAGAGUGGGGUGGGGUUUUGCUAAGUUCAAAAAAUCCUUAUCGUCGUUUAACAUCUUUACGUAAA
rnacentral:rRNA from 1 species